UUGUUCAUUGGUACUAUUCUGAACUGGUUGUCUUUGUACUUUUUAGAACUGGCAGCUGUUCAAACCUGAUUGUUUCUUAUGAAUCUCCACAAAUCCUGGAUAUGGAAUUGCUAUCUAGACCUCCAGCUGCUGCUACACUCUCCACACAGUUACUCCCCAGGAAAGUCUCUUCACCUUCUAGCACACUUGACUCUGGUGAGAAAAGAACUUCUCCCUAUGACUGCCUCCUCAGCCAGUCAUCAGCUCCACCCCAGGAGAAGCCUGCCUUGGUUCCUGAUCUGAUCAUCGUGGUCUGAGUGUGCAUCUGCUGGACUUAGAGCCUAAGGCUUGAGACUUUUGAUCUGACACUUGACUUACAUACAGAGGGAAUGUCUGUCAUGAGCCUGUCAUGAUUAAGUGUGUUUGCUGUGCUUAGAAUU
rnacentral:lncRNA from 1 species